UGGUGACUCUGCUGGUACGAUAGUGAAAAUAGAUGAAAGCUCCUCAGCCUUAGGGGUAGACUGCGAAUGCAAACAUCAUCGUCUAUCUCUUGAUGCUAUACUUGUAAUUCUUGAUAUAUAAAUGAAUAUAAUAUUGAAUAAUAAUAGUAAAAAUAAAUUAUAUUCUAAUAAAUAAAAUUAUAUCGCAUACCAUUAUUAUAAGAGAAGUUCAACAAAGAAUAUAGAUCUACUCAUCAAUAUUCAUAUCUUCCUCGAUGUAUAAGUCCUCCUCCGAAUCACAAUAAUCGACUAAUGUAUCGUCUUCUAUCUCAUCAUCAUUUAUGAAUUGAUCGUCGCUCUCUGACUCAUCAAGAUUAAAUAUAAAAUCAGCUUCAACUUCAUUGGACGGCAGAUCAGCCCUAUUCAAAAAAGCUAUUACAAGUUCUUCAUCAAUAAGAAGCUCGGCUAAUAUUUGUUCUUCCUCUUUAAAAGUUUCUUUUUAAUGUAAAUCUGAAUUUUUAUCUAUCUCUAGUCAGAUUGGUAUGUCAUAUACGUCUCUAGGUGUUAUUCUUUGUACGUCAUGCCAAUUACCUCGAUACUUUAGAUCCUUCAAAUAUAUUACCUGUUUUGCUUGAGUUGCUUAUAUAUACGGCUCAUUCUGGUACCAUGUUCAUGCAAAGUUUACACUGAUAAAGUAUGGAUUGAUAUGAAUAUCGAUCUUUUUAUUGCUAAUAUCCUACCAUUCACACUGAAACAAAAAUACAGAAUUACUGGACCCAUAUUUCAGUUCUAUGAUAUCUAUCAGUACACCAUAAUAUUCAAUCUCUUCUUCUCCUUCAAAUCCUAUCAUGGCAAUCUCACUAUUCUGGAUCCGUCAUUGCAUCUCAAGCUCCCUUGUGUGAAAUCUUAUUCCUCCAAUGAUACAGAAUGCAUAGUGGUUAACUCUUCGAUCGAGACCACAUGCUAAAUCAUACAACUCAUCGAUCGCACCCUCUUCUUUAUUGAAAUACUUAUAAUUCAUCUACACCAUAGCAUAAAAAAUUAUGUUGGUUCUGCAGGG
rnacentral:lncRNA from 1 species